rnacentral:rRNA from 1 species
AGAACUUAGCAGAGAUGCUUUGGUGCCUUCGGGAACUCUGAGACAGGUGCUGCAUGGCUGUCGUCAGCUCGUGUUGUGAAAUGUUGGGUUAAGUCCCGCAACGAGCGCAACCCUUAUCCUUUGUUGCCAGCGGUCCGGCCGGGAACUCAAAGGAGACUGCCAGUGAUAAACUGGAGGAAGGUGGGGAUGACGUCAAGUCAUCAUGGCCCUUACGAGUAGGGCUACACACGUGCUACAAUGGCGCAUACAAAGAGAAGCGACCUCGCGAGAGCAAGCGGACCUCAUAAAGUGCGUCGUAGUCCGGAUUGGAGUCUGCAACUCGACUCCAUGAAGUCGGAAUCGCUAGUAAUCGUAGAUCAGAAUGCUACGGUGAAUACGUUCCCGGGCCUUGUACACACCGCCCGUCACACCAUGGGAGUGGGUUGCAAAAGAAGUAGGUAGCUUAACCUUCGGGAGGGCGCUUACCACUUUGUGAUCCAUGACUGGGGUGAAGUCGUAACAAGGUAAGCGUAGCGAG